AUUGAACGCUGGCGGCAGGCCUAACACAUGCAAGUCGAACGAGUGGCGGACGGGUGAGUAAUGGCUGGGAAACUGCCCGAUGGAGGGGGAUAACUACUGGAAACGGUAGCUAAUACCGCAUACCAUCGGAUGUGCCCAGAUGGGAUGAGCUAGUAGGUGGGGUAAUGGCUCACCUAGGCGACGCUCCAUAGUGGGUCUGAGAGGAGGACCAGCCACACUGGAACUGAGACACGGUCCAGACUCCUACGGGAGGCAGCAGUGGGGAAUAUUGCACAAUGUGCGCAAGCCUGAUGCAGCCAUGCCGCGUGUAUGAAGAGGGCCUUCGGGUUGUAAAGUACUUUCAGCGAGGAGGCGUUACUCGCAGAAGAAGCACCGGCUAACUCCGUGCCAGCAGCCGCGGUAAUUC
rnacentral:rRNA from 1 species